CAGAAAUUAACAUUUCAUCCAUUUACGAAAGUGACAUAUUAGAAGGUGUAUUUCGGCUCGAAACGCCCACGCUUUUGUUCGGAUAUGAACCGGAAAAAAGGGCAAACAUUUAUCCUCAUAUCAGUCCUAUAGGCUUGUCUCUGUCCAUAAGGGCACAGCCUUUUAUGCCUCGUUUGCAUGCUGACAUGGAAAAAUUGCAAAGCAACGAAACGCCAUACUUGAGAAAUUACAUUCUAAAAUGGAACGAACGGUAUAACGAGAAUUUUCCUCGCAGAAAAUUUUCUG